GCAUAGUCCAGUGGGGAAGGACGGGAGGGGACUGAGCCCAGGGGGAAGGGGGCGGAGCCCAGGGGGAGGGACAAGGGAGAGCCCGGACCCAAGGGUGCAGGGAAAUGCGAGGCUCCCAGAGUCAGAGAUGUCCCCACCUGCCACCCACCCUCUGGCCCAGGCUGCUGCUCAGGUCUAAGGAUGGGGGGAGGGGAGGAUCAGGUGACCUCGACCCUCUCCUGAGUGACACCGGCCCUGGGACAACAGGUGUCAUCUGAGAACGUCCCAGCCCCAGGUCCUGCCUGUGAGACCAGAGACUCGACCACUCCCUCAUAAUCCAGCCACGUUGCACACCGGUCACAGGUCCUGUCAAGUACAAAGUGCCCAGUCGGCGUGCCAAGGACACGCCACACUUGGAGGAAGCCAGCGACUCUGGGGAGGCCAGUUCUUGUACUUUUCCAAGCCAACCACCUUCCUGAAAAUACCGAGGCCUGAAACAGACGGGGCAGGAGUACAGGAGCAGGUCUGCCAGGCCCGAGCACAGGGUCAGCCCUCUGCUGGGGGAGGCGGGGGGGCGGGCCGCCAGACAGCCCCAGCCACGCCCACUACGACACACAAGCAUCCCCUGGGGGUCAGGUGGCCGAAGCCUGGGGGACACAGGCCUGCCCCUUGUCCGCACGGCCGGUGCUCAGCCCACCCUUGUUGAAAGCAGAAUGGCACAGAAAGGUCUGGCGGACUUAGGCUCCUAGGCAGUUACUGCUUCGAGAAGAAAGGCCCUUCUGGGAGGAGGGCAGGGUGCCAUCAGCAGUCCUUGUGGGGCAGACCAGUCCUGGCUACCCUGGGGCUGGGGUCAGGUGGCAGGUGACCAGGUCCUGCCCUUGGAAGCAGCCGGCAAGCUGCCACCCGCCUCAUCCUGCUGCAAAGCACAGUGAGGUCCCAGGGGCCCGUCUUGGGGGCCAAGGGUCUCCUGAAGGUUAGGCUCACCUCUCUCAUCCCCUGAAGGGAAUGGUGCCAGACCGAUGUCCAGGAGGGUGAGCACGGAUGACAGCUGCUCUCGGAGGAACCGCAUAAGGCUCCGCCAGCACCUACUGCCCCCAGCCCCACUGGCACCCGGCCCAACCCAGGGCCAGGAAUGGGGGCAACAGAACGCCAACCCCAAGGCCCCCGCUCUGCCUAACCACACCCAGGUCAGCGGGCAGCCGGGGCUUCUGUGUCCUGUGUCACCAGGAUCCUGGGUGCGGGAAAACCCUUGGAAGUCCAGGAGGAAGGAGCCAGACCCGGCCAUGGAGACCUGGCAGGUGGAAGCAGGGACUGUGGCCCACAGACCCCAGACCACCUCCUGUACCCCUGCGCUCACCUCAGCCCCCAGGCCACAGAGCCUGCCAGCCCCCCGCCGCCUCCCGGGACCUGAAGGAGAAACGGGCUCUGGACAGCCAGGGGAGCCCCGAAGCCCCCCGCUUGGCGACUUGCUGCCUGAGCCAUUCUGUAGUCUUGCUCACUGCCCGCACCCAGCCCCCAUGCACAACCUCCAAGACCACCCGACCUCCUGGCCUGCAGGUACCCCGCACCCCGCGUUUCCUUCUGCAUGCUUCUGGGGGCAACAAGAGACAGGAAACUCUGCCUAGAACCUGGGUGCCCCUUCUGCAGGACGAUCUCUGCCCUUUCAGAGUCUAGCCCUCAGGAGCAGGCUCCGAAAACCCGCAUUUCAGGCCACCCCUGGAUGGAGGGUGGGGGCCGGGGUACUGGGGACGGAGCAGAGGCUGGGCUGAGAGGAGACAACAGGGGAGUGGAGGUCGGGGAGCCGGGGCGGGGGCCGGGGGCUCCUCCCGAAGGACCACAGGGCAGGUGGCGCCUAGCCGCCUCUACAUCAGAGCCGGACCGACGUGGUCCAUACAGCAGAGCCAGACCAACCCGGCCCCUACAGCAAGCCCGGCCCGACCCCGUCUCCACAGCAGAGCCGGCCCAAUCCGCCUCUACAGCAGGCCCCGGGGCGGUCCCGAGGCUUCGGCUCUGGACCCAGCUAGUCGCAGCGGAGACGACAGCCAUCGGCCAGGUCCAGGCCAGGGCGCAGGAAGGGGCGCCUCUCGCUCCC
ensembl:lncRNA